GAUGAACGCUGGCGGCGUGCCUAAUGCAUGCAAGUCGAACGCAGGGUGCUUGCACCGCUACGUGGCGCACGGCUGAGGAACACGUGGGUGAUCUGCCCCGGAGUGGGGGAUAACCUAGCGAAAGCUGGGCUAAUCCCGCAUACGCUCGCAAGAGGAACGCGGUAACGCGCUCCGGGAUGAGCCUGCGGCCCAUCAGGUAGUUGGUGUGGUAACGGCGCACCAAGCCAGUGACGGGUCCCUGGUCUGAGAGGACGACCAGGCAGACUGGGACUGAGACACGGCCCAGACUCCUACGGGAGGCAGCAGCAAGGAAUUUUCCCCAAUGGGCUCACGCCUGAGGGAGCAACGCCGCGUGGGGGAUGACGGCCUUCGGGUUGUAAACUCCUUUUGGGUGGGACGAUUGUGACGGUACCAUCCGAAUAAGCCCCGGCUAACUCCGUGCCAGCCGCCGCAGUAAGAC
rnacentral:rRNA from 1 species